rnacentral:antisense_RNA from 1 species
AGUGAGGCAGGCACUUGCUUGCGGAAGAACAGGCCUAGUUUUUUAAGAAGCCACGAAAGUGUCUUUAGAUGAUUAGGAUCUAAGGGGCCAACAGCUUUGCAAUAACAGCAUAAAUAUUGUGGGCUGGAUGGACAGGCACCAAAUGGGGACAUUCCAUCCUGCUGUGUGAUGAGAAAGCUGCCACUUCUGAGGCCUUCCAAAACAAAUAAACACUCCAAAUGCCAGAAGGAAAAGCCCAGGAAAGACCUAUUCCAACUGGAGAUGGUGAAUGUCAUUUCUUCAAGAAGCUGAGAUCCAGCUGGUACUGCCAGGUGGAGAGUGAGUUGGGUAGCUGACCUCAGGCAUGGCAGCCUUAGUUUUUGGCCACUUCAUGGGGUGACCUGUUGAGCAAACAGCAGUGGAAUUCUGCAGCUGUGGACCAAGACAUUGUUGUGUUCUUGUUUCUAGGAAUAUGAAGGGAGAAUGAAACAAAACUGCUCCGCUCAGGGAACUUAGAAAUUGAAAAGGCAAGGCACAGGCUGGAAGAAAAUAUUUGAAAAAGAUUUAUGUGACAAAGAACUUCUUUCUGGAUUAUACAAAAUAUUUUUAGAUAUUCUUACAACUCUAAAAUAAGAUAACUCCUUAAAAAUGUGAAUUCUACCAAAGGAGAGAUAAAGAUGACAA